CAGUUACCAAGUUUUUUCCAGACGACGUUGAAUAAAUGAAUUGGCAGUUACCUUUGGCUUUCUUUAAUACCCCCCAUAUGCACAGAAAAAAGAUAAGCCUGCCUAUUACAGUUACAGCUAACUGGUACGUUAGCAAGCUAGUUAGCACGCAAGCUAAUGUACUACACAGCCCCUUUCUUUUGGUCAACCGGUGUGGUUAGCUUAGCUGCUAACUAGCAUAGCUUGAGAAACUGUGCUUACGUGGCACGCACUGAUUGACUAGUGUUAUUUCAGUGGUUCCAAAAGUGGGGUCCACGGACCUCCAGAGGUCCUUGAGGGAGUCUUAGGAAUUCGCAUUAAAACAAGGAGUAGUUCGAUUUGAUAAUCACCUAAUGUAAUGUAAAAUAAGAAAGCGGAGAUGAGAAGUUGAACUCGUUAAUUUAUGUCAAGGCCCAAUCACGGGUCACGGGUCUCUCAGCAUACCAAGGGGUAUCCGUAGUAACAAACCCUGUCUAAUACCCAGAUUGGUAAUCUUGAUAUUUUAGACUUUAGAGUUGGAUACAGUGUUUUUCUAAUUCUUCUACAUUUGCACUAAAUAGCCUAUUACGGCAACAAAGCAUUAUUAACAACGGGUCUGAGCUUGUAUUUCUGACUUUGUUACUGACGCUAUUAUUUGUGUCUGUAUUCAUAAGGGAAUGGUAUGCAUGGCAACAUUUACUCUUAUUUAAGCUUAGAACAUCACAUGAAACUAAAGCUCCAUGUGUCUCUCUGUGCCAAAAAUAACUGGGAGUCUGACGUGAAUAAUAGGAAGCAUGUUACUUUAUCAUGGAACAAAAAAAGCAAUAGUGCUUAUUAUUAUUGUUGUUGUUGUUGUUAAUAUUCUGUAUCUAAAAGCAGUUUUGCAGACUAAACUGUAAUCAGUGCAAAGGUAAAUUUGAGAGGAAAGUACUAGUGCAUGCAGGUAAGCACCACAAAAAAAGACUCAUGUCAACCAAAUAGGGGCACUAUAAAACAUAAAAGCAUUUUGUUUAAUAACUCACUAACAGUACAUCACACAUUCAAAACCUUAUAUCCUCAUGUUCUCUAUAUUGAGCUGCAUCUCCUCAUUUAGGCCACGGUCAAUUCCACCUGUAAAAAUUUUUCGCAAAUUAGCGGUUAUGGUUUGUUCCAGUGUCCCUUCUAGACAUUUCUCCACUGACUACCAGCUAUCCCUGAUAUCAACACCAUGUAUUUACACUUCAAAACAGCUCUCUGCUGCAGCAUAAUGUCUCAUCUGCUGCUCAUGGAAGAGGACUGCUGAGGUGAAUUUUCCAGGUUUAUCUUGCCCUAUUGACUAAAAUCAUCUGCGAGAUUGGGCUUCAGAAAGGAAUAGGAAGGAAACAGAUCAGGAUGGAACAAUGUACUACAAGCUCAACCAAAUGGACAGCUGCUCUCCAUAUCUCUGCCCCUGUCUCAGGAAGCUGAGCAGUGACACAACCGUUUCCCAUUUUGUACACCACAAGCCAUCCAGAAUCUCAAACACAAACAUCUGCAAGAACUAAAUGAAGUGAUACCAAAGGUUUUCCAUGGCUUCUAGGAUGCACUAAAACACGAUCAAUGCUCUUUGCCUCCAGCAUGACUUCCACACACUCACAUAAAGCUCUCUUGUUCUUUAAAUGUUUUCAUGAUUUUUGUAGCUAGUGAAAUUUAUUAAAGAUAGGUCAGAACGGUGCCAGUGAUACUGGCCUUUUUAAGAGAAUCAGGUGAGACCAGAUGUGACUAAUCCAUAUUUGAUUUUUUUCCUUGUUCAUUAUUUAAUUAUUUAAUAGUGACAGAGUUCAACUCAGUUAUUAAAAUUACAUUAUUUCUUAAUAUAUAUAUAUAUAUAUCCACAUACUGUACAUCUGACUGCAAUUUCAAUUUAACAUUGUGCAAGGUUUCCAUUGUACUGUAAUGUCUUUGAAAACGUGAAAAUCACUGAGUUACUACUCAGUGAUUUUCAUGUUUUCAUUCUUAUUUAAUUGAUACUUGAAUUAAGCCAGUAAUACAAUGAUAGAUAUCAAUGUACUGAUGAAUCUACUGCAGUUAUUUGUUAUUUUCCCUACUUUGUGCCAGUUGAUGUUUUUAUGUCUGAAACUGUGUCUGAAAUGACAAUCAAAACAUGACAACCAGGAUCCCCACCCAUCUAGAUCUGUGGGAGCAUCCAGUCUAGUUUGUCAUCCUUCCUGAAACAGCAGCCUUGCUUCUGGAACAGAUAAGCCAAUGAGAUCUCAACUAAUGUACACACUACCUGAGCAGCAUAGCAUAACAGAAAACAAAUUCACACCACACAUCAGGAGGGAAACAACAGAACUCUAAUCACAGCAGCCAACAUGACAUGUUGGUAGUCUAGUGGUCUAUGAUUCGGAGUGGUAUGUGGUAGCGCCAGAAGAAGGGGUUUUCUUUACUUUGAAUAUUACAAUCAAAUAUUCUGUAUUAUAAAUUUAUUUUUAUUCUUGGUAAUAAUUGAACUGUUAAAUUAUCUUAGGUUAGGCUAAAAUGUCUGCGAUUCCAUACUUUAAUUCUUUCUUGAUUUUGAUACUUACAUUAUCUCAUCUGUUUCCCUUUUCAUUUCGUUUAAUUCUGUUCAUUUUUUUCUUUUUUUCUUAAUUUUGUAUCUUUGGAUUCCAAACUUGGUCACUUGAUUUAUAUAUAUUUUUUUGAUUAAAAAAGAAAUGACCUCCUUAU